rnacentral:rRNA from 1 species
AAAGCCUCUAGCUAGAAUAACGGUGCCCGUACCGCAAACCGACACAGGUAGUCAAGAUGAGAAUUCUAAGGUGAGCGAGCGAACUCUCGUUAAGGAACUCGGCAAAAUGACCCCGUAACUUCGGGAGAAGGGGUGCUCUUUGAGGUUCACGCUUCGAAGAGCCGCAGUGAAUAGGCCCAAGCGACUGUUUAUCAAAAACACAGGUCUCUGCUAAACCGUAAGGUGACGUAUAGGGGCUGACGCCUGCCCGGUGCUGGAAGGUUAAGAGGAGUGGUUAGCGCAAGCGAAGCUACGAAUCGAAGCCCCAGUAAACGGCGGCCGUAACUAUAACGGUCCUAAGGUAGCGAAAUUCCUUGUCGGGUAAGUUCCGACCCGCACGAAAGGCGUAACGAUUUGGGCACUGUCUCAACGAGAGACUCGGUGAAAUCAUAGUACCGGUGAAGAUGCCGGUUACCCGCGACAGGACGGAAAGACCCCGUGGAGCUUUACUGUAGCCUGAUAUUGAAAUUCGGUACAGUUUGUACAGGAUAGGUAGGAGCCUUAGAAGCGUGAGCGCUAGCUUACGUGGAGGCAUUGGUGGGAUACUACCCUAAUUGUAUUGGAUUUCUAACCCGCAGCACUUAUCGUGCUGGGAGACAGUGUCAGGCGGGCAGUUUGACUGGGGCGGUCGCCUCCUAAAGAGUAACGGAGGCGCUCAAAGGUUCCCUCAGAAUGGUUGGAAAUCAUUCAUAGAGUGUAA